rnacentral:rRNA from 1 species
UUCCAGACUCCUACGGGAGGCAGCAGUGGGGAAUAUUGCACAAUGGGGGAAACCCUGAUGCAGCGACGCCGCGUGAGUGAAGAAGUAUUUCGGUAUGUAAAGCUCUAUCAGCAGGGAAGAAAAUGACGGUACCUGACCAAGAAGCCCCGGCUAACUACGUGCCAGCAGCCGCGGUAAUACGUAGGGGGCAAGCGUUAUCCGGAUUUACUGGGUGUAAAGGGAGCGUAGACGGUGAUGCAAGUCAGAAGUGAAAGCCCGGGGCUCAACUCCGGGACUGCUUUUGAAACUGUGUAACUGGAGUGCAGGAGAGGUAAGCGGAAUUCCUAGUGUAGCGGUGAAAUGCGUAGAUAUUAGGAGGAACACCAGUGGCGAAGGCGGCUUACUGGACUGUAACUGACGUUGAGGCUCGAAAGCGUGGGGAGCAAACAGGAUUAGAUACCCUGGUA